UACGUAGGUGGCAAGCGUUAUCCGGAUUUACUGGGUGUAAAGGGCGUGUAGGCGGGACUGCAAGUCAGAUGUGAAAACCACGGGCUCAACCUGUGGCCUGCAUUUGAAACUGUAGUUCUUGAGUACUGGAGAGGCAGACGGAAUUCCUAGUGUAGCGGUGAAAUGCGUAGAUAUUAGGAGGAACACCAGUGGCGAAGGCGGUCUGCUGGACAGCAACUGACGCUGAGGCGCGAAAGCGUGGGGAGCAGACAGG
rnacentral:rRNA from 1 species